CAGCUAAGGUCCCAAAGUCAUGGUUAAGUGGGAAACGAUGUGGGAAGGCCCAGACAGCCAGGAUGUUGGCUUAGAAGCAGCCAUCAUUUAAAGAAAGCGUAAUAGCUCACUGGUCGAGUCGGCCUGCGCGGAAGAUGUAACGGGGCUAAACCAUGCACCGAAGCUGCGGCAGCGACACUAUGUGUUGUUGGGUAGGGGAGCGUUCUGUAAGCCUGUGAAGGUGGCCUGUGAGGGUUGCUGGAGGUAUCAGAAGUGCGAAUGCUGACAUAAGUAACGAUAAAGCGGGUGAAAAGCCCGCUCGCCGGAAGACCAAGGGUUCCUGUCCAACGUUAAUCGGGGCAGGGUGAGUCGACCCCUAAGGCGAGGCCGAAAGGCGUAGUCGAUGGGAAACAGGUUAAUAUUCCUGUACUUGGUGUUACUGCGAAGGGGGGACGGAGAAGGCUAUGUUGGCCGGGCGACGGUUGUCCCGGUUUAAGCGUGUAGGCUGGUUUUCCAGGCAAAUCCGGAAAACCAAGGCUGAGGCGUGAUGACGAGGCACUACGGUGCUGAAGCGACAAAUGCCCUGCUUCCAGGAAAAGCCUCUAAGCAUCAGGUAACAUCAAAUCGUACCCCAAACCGACACAGGUGGUCAGGUAGAGAAUACCAAGGCGCUUGAGAGAACUCGGGUGAAGGAACUAGGCAAAAUGGUGCCGUAACUUCGGGAGAAGGCACGCUGAUAUGUAGGUGAAGCGACUUGCUCGUGGAGCUGAAAUCAGUCGAAGAUACCAGCUGGCUGCAACUGUUUAUUAAAAACACAGCACUGUGCAAACACGAAAGUGGACGUAUACGGUGUGACGCCUGCCCGGUGCCGGAAGGUUAAUUGAUGGGGUUAGCGGCAACGCGAAGCUCUUGAUCGAAGCCCCGGUAAACGGCGGCCGUAACUAUAACGGUCCUAAGGUAGCGAAAUUCCUUGUCGGGUAAGUUCCGACCUGCACGAAUGGCGUAAUGAUGGCCAGGCUGUCUCCACCCGAGACUCAGUGAAAUUGAACUCGCUGUGAAGAUGCAGUGUACCCGCGGCAAGACGGAAAGACCCCGUGAACCUUUACUAUAGCUUGACACUGAACAUUGAGCCUUGAUGUGUAGGAUAGGUGGGAGGCUUUGAAGUGUGGACGCCAGUCUGCAUGGAGCCGACCUUGAAAUACCACCCUUUAAUGUUUGAUGUUCUAACGUUGGCCCGUAAUCCGGGUUGCGGACAGUGUCUGGUGGGUAGUUUGACUGGGGCGGUCUCCUCCUAAAGAGUAACGGAGGAGCACGAAGGUUGGCUAAUCCUGGUCGGACAUCAGGAGGUUAGUGCAAUGGCAUAAGCCAGCUUGACUGCGAGCGUGACGGCGCGAGCAGGUGCGAAAGCAGGUCAUAGUGAUCCGGUGGUUCUGAAUGGAAGGGCCAUCGCUCAACGGAUAAAAGGUACUCCGGGGAUAACAGGCUGAUACCGCCCAAGAGUUCAUAUCGACGGCGGUGUUUGGCACCUCGAUGUCGGCUCAUCACAUCCUGGGGCUGAAGUAGGUCCCAAGGGUAUGGCUGUUCGCCAUUUAAAGUGGUACGCGAGCUGGGUUUAGAACGUCGUGAGACAGUUCGGUCCCUAUCUGCCGUGGGCGCUGGAGAACUGAGGGGGGCUGCUCCUAGUACGAGAGGACCGGAGUGGACGCAUCACUGGUGUUCGGGUUGUCAUGCCAAUGGCACUGCCCGGUAGCUAAAUGCGGAAGAGAUAAGUGCUGAAAGCAUCUAAGCACGAAACUUGCCCCGAGAUGAGUUCUCCCUGACUCCUUGAGAGUCCUGAAGGAACGUUGAAGACGACGACGUUGAUAGGCCGGGUGUGUAAGCGCAGCGAUGCGUUGAGCUAACCGGUACUAAUGAACCGUGAGGCUUAACCUU
rnacentral:rRNA from 1 species